UAUAUCGCAAAUACAAAGUGUCGACAGUGCAUAAGCAAAAUAUGAAAUUAUAACUGGUAUAAGAUAUUGUAAUAUAAGUCGUAAAAUAAUAGUAACGUGCAUCGAUCCACACCAAUCAAAGAUAUAUCCAUUCUAACAAGGAUCAACGAGUACUUUUUACAGGUAUACAAGGCAAGUGAACACACAUAUAUUUUACACUCUAUGAUAAAUUAUCAACUCCGUACUCAACUAAUAAUAUUCUGUAGUAGAAAUAAAAAUAAUGUAAUAUAAGUGCCGAUAGCGUAUAGUGUAUACCAUCAUAAUUCUCCAUACCCUGCGUAAUUUUCCGCCUUACUCCGCACUACCCCGUCUACCCAUCUCUCUCGAUAAUACAUUUUUAUCGCACUACAGAUUGGGCAGGACCGGCUCACGGAAAAAUAGUGGACUAGGCAAAAUUUGAUUUUGCCGCUCUUAAGUCUUAACAAUAGAGUAUUAUCAGUAUUUUAAAAAUGCCGCCCUCUUACUAUCUGAUUGAGAUGUAGGAGUUUGAUAUGAGAUUGAAUAUUUUAUUAUUGGUUGGGUUGCAGGGUAGAGUGAUCAUGUACAUUGAAACUGGCCUUCCAUUUUUGGGAAUUGCCUUAUGUGGAUGUUUCAAAGCCUAGCCGGGAAGUUCGGCUUGAAUGUCGUUUACUGGGUGUGUUGCUGGGUAUUCCUUGGAUCCGAGGGAUCUGUCCGCUAGUAAAGAGAAAGUGUGGAAUGGUAUUUUGACCAUUUUCACGACGGCUUAAACUUACCUAAAAGGGGCAAAGGAAAUAAAAACAUGAUUUUGGGGGGCAGCAUUCAUAAUUUUUUUGUUAGUUUGUGUGCUUUUAAAAAUAUUUUGGAAAAUAUUUCUUGUGGUUGUUUGAAAAAUUGUGAUUCGGCUUAUGAGUUAUGGCUAUUGGAAACAAGGGAUGGACUGCUCGGUUGCAUGUAAAACAUGCUACGGUGAAUGAUGCUUAAAUGCUCCUACCGACAUUCAACCAGAUGACCAGUUAGCGAUUCCGAUUAAGAUCACGAAGACGUAACAACAACAAAGCGGAAAAAAUUUCAGUUAAAAAUGUAUGAUUACGAAAAGGAAACGAAAGGGGAAAAAAGAAGAAAUACAAUUUUAAAAUCUUAUUUACAAAAGAUUAAAUUAAGUACUGCAGACAAUAUCUACAGAGAAGAAUGAAUAUAAAAAAAAUAAAAGGUUAUAUCAAUGUUAUAAAAAAUAUCAAAAGAGGUAAGUUAUUAAUAAAAAAAUAUUUUAGCAAUACUAGGUAUUAACAGUAUAACACGAAACUAAACAUAUAAUAUGUAUAUUAUGUUUUUUGGGCAAGAAGGGACGAAACUUUAGUAUUUU